AUUUUCUUCCAAUGAUUUUUUUUUGUCUUUAACUUGUUAUUUUUUGUCAGUGGAUAAUGGAAGAAAAACUAAGGUUGAGCUACUUGCAAAGCAUGAUUUUUGUGCUUUUAAUAAAUAAACCUAAGGUUCAGACACAAUUUAUAUUAGGUCUCACCCAAACAAAACAAAGUUUCAACUUAAUCAAACAUUCAUAUUUAUG